AUACUUACCUUCUUGCAAGCAUGCCGCUCAUGAAUGGCUUUGCUUACGAUACGAAACCUCCAUUGCACAUCGGGGCGUUGAGAAUCGUUGAGUAUGCUUCGGUAUCCUCAGCGGGGGAAUUUUUGAUUGCCUUCUCGGU
rnacentral:snRNA from 22 species